UACGUAGGGUGCAAGCGUUAAUCGGAAUUACUGGGCGUAAAGCGUGCGCAGGCGGUGAUGUAAGACAGGUGUGAAAUCCCCGGGCUCAACCUGGGAAUGGCAUUGGAAACUGGCUCGCUGGAGUGUGGCAGAGGGGGGUGGAAUUCCGCGUGUAGCAGUGAAAUGCGUAGAGAUGCGGAGGAACACCGAUGGCGAAGGCAGCCCCCUGGGCUAACACUGACGCUCAGGCACGAAAGCGUGGGGAGCAAACAGG
rnacentral:rRNA from 1 species